rnacentral:rRNA from 1 species
GCUGGCGGCAUGCCUAACACAUGCAAGUCGAACGGAAACGGCAUUAACAAUCCCUUCGGGGUGCGUUUAUGGACGUCGAGUGGCGGACGGGUGAGUAACGCAUAGGAAUCUGCCCAUGUAGUGGGGGACAACCUGGGGAAACUCAGGCUAAUACCGCAUACGCCCUACGGGGGAAAGCGGAGGAUCUUCGGACUUCGCGCUAUUGGAUGAGCCUAUGUCAGAUUAGCUUGUUGGUGGGGUAACGGCCUACCAAGGCGACGAUCUGUAGCUGGUCUGAGAGGACGAUCAGCCACACUGGGACUGAGACACGGCCCAGACUCCUACGGGAGGCAGCAGUGGGGAAUAUUGCACAAUGGGCGCAAGCCUGAUGCAGCAAUGCCGCGUGUGUGAAGAAGGCCCGAGGGUUGUAAAGCACUUUCAGUAGGGAAGAAACAGUAACGGAAUAAUACCCGUUGCCUUGACGUUACCUACAGAAGAAGCACCGGCUAACUCUGUG